CCUACGAGAGGCAGCAGUAGGGAAUCUUCCACAAUGGGCGAAAGCCUGAUGGAGCAACGCCGCGUGGGUGAAGAAGGUCUUCGGAUCGUAAACCUCUGUUGUUAGAGAAGAAAGUGCGUGAGAGUAACUGUUCACGUUUCGACGGUAUAUAACCAGAAAGCCACGGAUAACUAAGUGCCAGCAGCCGCGGUAAUACGUAGGUGGCAAGCGUUAUCCGAAUUUAUUGGGAGAAAAGGCAACGCAGGCGGUAUUUUAAGUCUGAUGUGAAAGCCUUCGGCUUAACCGGAGUAGUGCAUUGGAAACUGGGAGACGUGAGUGCAGAAGAGGAGGGUGGAACUCAAUGGGUAGCGGUGAAAUGCGUAGAUAUAUGGAAGAACACCAGUGGCGAAGGCGGCUCUCUGGACUGUAACUGACGCUGAUGUUCGAAAGCGUGGGUAGCAAACAGGAUUAGAUACCCGGGUAGUC
rnacentral:rRNA from 1 species